rnacentral:lncRNA from 1 species
GGAAGAUAGGAAGAGAAAGACUUAAGUGUAACAGUAAAAAUGAAGUUUGGACAAGUAAAACCACUUCCAAAAAGAAUGAGAUGUUUUCAGACUCAGUAAAAUUGAAGUCUUUGGUUGCCAUGCUCUAACUGCCAAAUGCCUGAGUUCCAUAGCUGAAGAGUGUCCAAAUCUGCAGACAUUGAACAUUGGCAGAGUCCCAG